AUCGCUUCUCGGCCUUUUGGCUAAGAUCAAGUGUAGUAUCUGUUCUUAUCAGAAAAAAAAUAUGGAAGAGUGGCUAUGUGGAGAUAACCAGCAUUGUCUACUAUAGCAGUGUGUAUCAUUGAUAAGCAUAGUUAGAGUGUUUGUUAGCUAAGUCUGCUAGAGGUGGUAGUCAUCAACCCAUU
ensembl:snRNA U2 U2 spliceosomal RNA